AGCGAACGCUGGCGGCAGGCUUAACACAUGCAAGUCGAGCGGGCAUCCUUGUGGUGUCAGCGGCAGACGGGUGAGUAACGCGUGGGAACGUGCCCUUCGGUUCGGAAUAACUCAGGGAAACUUGAGCUAAUACCGGAUACGUGCGAGAGCAGAAAGGUUUAUCUGCCGAAGGAUCGGCCCGCGUCUGAUUAGCUAGUUGGUGAGGUUAUGGCUCACCAAGGCGACGAUCAGUAGCUGGCCUGAGAGGAUGAUCAGCCACACUGGGACUGAGACACGGCCCAGACUCCUACGGGAGGCAGCAGUGGGGAAUAUUGGACAAUGGGGGCAACCCUGAUCCAGCCAUGCCGCGUGAGUGAUGACGGCCUUAGGGUUGUAAAGCUCUUUUCUUCGGGACGAUAAUGACGGUACCGGAGGAAUAAGCCCCGGCUAACUUCGUG
rnacentral:rRNA from 1 species